rnacentral:rRNA from 1 species
AGGUGGUUUGUCGCGUUGUUCGUGAAAACUCACAGCUUAACUGUGGGCGUGCGGGCGAUACGGGCAGACUAGAGUACUGCAGGGGAGACUGGAAUUCCUGGUGUAGCGGUGGAAUGCGCAGAUAUCAGGAGGAACACCGGUGGCGAAGGCGGGUCUCUGGGCAGUAACUGACGCUGAGGAGCGAAAGCGUGGGGAGCGAACAGGAUUAGAUACCCUGGUAGUCCACGCCGUAAACGGUGGGUACUAGGUGUGGGUUCCUUCCUUGGGAUCCGUGCCGUAGCUAACGCAUUAAGUACCCCGCCUGGGGAGUACGGCCGCAAGGCUAAAACUCAAGGGAAUUGACGGGGGCCCGCACAAGCGGCGGAGCAUGUGGAUUAAUUCGAUGCAACGCGAAGAACCUUACCUGGGUUUGACAUGCACAGGACGCCGGCAGAGAUGUCGGUUCCCUUGUGGCCUGUGUGCAGGUGGUGCAUGGCUGUCGUCAGCUCGUGUCGUGAGAUGUUGGGUUAAGUCCCGCAACGAGCGCAACCCUUGUCCUAUGUUGCCAGCGGGUUAUGCCGGGGACUCGUAGGAGACUGCCGGGGUCAACUCGGAGGAAGGUGGGGAUGACGUCAAGUCAUCAUGCCCCUUAUGUCCAGGGCUUCACACAUGCUACAAUGGCCGGUACAAAGGGCUGCGAUGCCGUGAGGUGGAGCGAAUCCUUUCAAAGCCGGUCUCAGUUCGGAUCGGGGUCUGCAACUCGACCCCGUGAAGUCGGAGUCGCUAGUAAUCGCA